UGGGGGGAUUAGUGGCGAACGGGUGAGUAACACGUGAGUAACCUGCCCUUGACUCUGGGAUAAGCCUGGGAAACCGGGUCUAAUACUGGAUACGACCUUCUGGCGCAUGCCAUGUUGGUGGAAAGCUUUUGUGGUUUUGGAUGGACUCGCGGCCUAUCAGCUUGUUGGUGGGGUAAUGGCCUACCAAGGCGACGACGGGUAGCCGGCCUGAGAGGGUGACCGGCCACACUGGGACUGAGACACGGCCCAGACUCCUACGGGAGGCAGCAGUGGGGAAUAUUGCACAAUGGGCGCAAGCCUGAUGCAGCGACGCCGCGUGAGGGAUGAAGGCCUUCGGGUUGUAAACCUCUUUCAGUAGGGAAGAAGCCGGCCCUUGGGUUGGUGACGGUACCUGCAGAAGAAGCGCCGGCUAACUACGUGCCAG
rnacentral:rRNA from 1 species